rnacentral:piRNA from 1 species
UAGCCUAUGGGAUUCUUCUUCU